GCCAUGUCACACCAGCUGAUGCAUAUUCAUCAGACCACCCCCCAGGGUGGGGUGGAGGGUAUAUAAGGCUUGCCUCUUCCUGAAUAAACUGAGCUUGUUGUUUGGACAUUCUCCCUGAGUCUGUGUGGUUUGACUCUGUGCCUACUUGGCCCCCACCCCCAAAGGGAACAACAGCAAGGACCCUGAUACAUCUGGUGCCGAAACCCAGGAAAUUUGGUACUUGAACAGGGUCUGUUUGUCUCCCUUUCACGUGCGGCACUGGUUGAGAAGCCCCCUUGAGCUGUAUAUUUCGAAUACCACCACACUGAUAUGGAUACCCUCCAGACAUGUGUGUCCGGCAACAGACCAAGAGACAUUGGACAAAGAAGAAGCUUCAGAGGGGUAAUGUAUGAUUUGUCCUGCUACUGUGACAUUCAUUAGUAAAGGUCAUGUCAUUGCUGACAUGUGACCCUAGAUAUUAAGCAGUUGCCUCACCCCCUACAAGGUCACUAAUGCACCACCAGAAGGACUUUGAUUGGCGCAAUAAAAAUGACUGGGGUCCCAUCCAUGUCCUUGAGAUUGAAAUUUUUGAAUCCUUGUCUUGUUCAAAUGUCUUCUGCAACAGGUUCACCAACAGAAGGCGGCCACAAAGGUGACCCUACAGGUUUUAUUGGCUCUCAGACACCUAGAUCAAAGUCCUCCUAGAGAGAUAAUGCACACAUGGCUCACUGAGAUACAGAAGGCUACUGCCUAAAGCCCACCACCCAGACAGCUCUCUAGGAUUGAUGCUCUUCCAGGGCUGGUAGUCAAUGACGGAUACAAGCUUGUUAGACAAACCAAUCUAAGACAGACACAGUCCAUUAUGCUGAGCUCUCCUGAGGUGGGGUCAACAAGGUUAGGGCAACGCACCCUAGCUCCCACUGAGCAUGUCCUAUGAAAUAAUAAAAAGGGGUGGAUAUGUGGGAUGACUCAUCCCUAACCGGCUUGAGAGCCAGACGGCCCAAACAAGUAAAAAAAGAUUCUUUCUGAGAACCAGCCUGGGUCUGCCUGAUGGUCUUAGUAACAGCAACUGAAACAUGAUCUGGAGAUGACCUGGACCAAUGAGAGGCAGCCAUGUCACACCAGCUGAUGCAUACUCAUCAGACCACCCCCCAGGGUGGGGUGGAGAGUAUAUAAGGCUUGCCUCUUCCUGAAUAAACUGAGCUUGUUGUUUGGACAUUCUCCCUGAGUCUGUGUGGUUUGACUCCGUGCCUACUUGGCCCCCCAAAGGGAACAACAGCAAGGACCCUGCUACAGACAUUCAAAUCUGAAAUGUAGCUAUGAAUCCGUUUGUCCUUUGAGGGAAAAAACGGUAGGUUCCUGUGAUUCACCUGCUCCACUUAAGUGUGCUUCAUUCCAAAGAGCCUUCUGAAGAAAGGAAGCCAAGCAGGGUAAAUUUUCUGUAACUACUGCUCCCACAAUCCUAAGAAAUGAAAAAAAAAAUGACUAAUAUAAAGAAAGGGACUUAAAAUACAGUUCAGUUGGCAAAGUACUUGCCGUGCAAGCAGUAGAACCUGAAUUUGAUGCAGACAUCAAUAAAAACACACAUAUAAAAAUCCGGGCACGGGAAGGCAAAGAGUAUCGGAUCCCUCCAGCUUACUGCCAGCCAGCAUCACAUAACUGACAAGCCUCCAACACAGUGAGAGACUCCUUUUACAAACAAAGUGGAAGACUCUUCAGGAACAGCACUAGAGGUUGGUCUCACGUGCUUCCACAUAUACCUACUCGUGUAUACCUGUAUGCACAUGCACACACAAUAAAACAGAGAUUCAUGAACAGUGGGAUUUGUCCUGUGGACUAUUUUAAUCUUGAAUUUCUUUCAGUGCAAGUCCUUAAUAAUUGUGUAGUUACUAGAGACUAGCAGUCCACCAAAAGCCUAAUCUUUUCCUGCAGCUCAUUCAUUACACAAAUAUUCCCAUUUUUGUAACUGACUUUAAUUCACCACAAAUACAGUUUGAUCUUACUUAUGAAUUUCUAGCUGCAUAAAAGAGGGGUAAAUUGUACAAGAAUGUGGUCAGCAUAUUUAUAUCUUGGAUAAGAAUUAUCAGUAUCUAUUUGCAACACUAUUAACCAACAAUUCCAGAGUUUCUGUGGUUUAGCCAAACAAUGGUUUAGUCAUUCUUUGUUUAUAAUUUGUUGGAGAUCAGGGCAAAUGUUGACAAGAUAUAGGACCAAGGAAUUGAGACAGCUUGAGGUUGAUUCUCUACCAUCCAGUAGGAAGCCUUUUCUUCUGGUGCCUCAGGGGAAGAGAAAGCUGGAAAACUGUGACAUGAUUUUUCCAAACUUUGGAUGAGAGUUGCUUUUAACUACUGUCCAUAAUCCAUUGCCCAAAUUCCUCUCCUGUCUGACCACAAAGACAUGGGGAAGAGUAAUGGUACAGACAGAGUGUUCAUCAAUAGGCAUUCUCUGCUGCCUUUGGAGUCUGGAAACAUUCAUGCUUCGUCGUAGCAUUUCUGCCAACACCCCAGAAAAGAACUUGAAGCAGACAGUAGGAGGAACCAAAUCAAAUGUAAUCAGCAAUUUCUUGACAAAAUGGAACUCAUUUGAUUUUUAAUUUUUUGGUUUCAGAACUCGAAAAUUAGCUUUAUGGGUCAAGACAGACAUAUUAAGAAGUAUGAACUACAAGCUAAUCCUCUUAAUUUUUAAUGAAUGUCCUUUUUUAAUUUAUUUCUUUAUACUAUGUUCAUAGAAAACAUAAAUCAUAAAAUUUUCAUUCACUUCAAAAAUUGUAUGUUUUAAACAUCAAGUUAAUAUGUUAUAGCUUUUAUACUCUUAAUAUAGAUUAUUAUAUAACCUACCCCUUAUCUUUAUUGUGGAAAAUUGAGGAGGUUCCAUGCAGUUUAAAUUACUUUCACUAUUCUUGCUUGAACUUACACAGAAAAUUCAAAUCCAUGAAUUAAAUCCUUUGUGUAUCCAACUCUGUACCACAUUUUUUUGGUGUACUCUUGUUCUGUCUUAUAGAGAUUACCUUUUCAUAGGGAUGCUCUGAUCAGGAAUUCACUGUCUUGUAUUCUCCAUUUGUCUAAAGAAACACUUAUCUAUAUUCAUGUGUGGGUACAUGAUUUUGGGAUCAGGGUCAGGUUCAAUAUCUGAUAUUUAUUAUAAAUAACACUUAAAUCACAAUCAAAAUUCUAUGCACAUAAUAAUUUUCCAUGAAAACCAUUGAUGAUCUAGAAAAAAAGGCAACAAGGAAAAUGUGGUAACCUUGUUCAAAGAAUGAUGCUUACACAGUAUUAUUUAAUAUUCAUGUUAACCAUGCUUAUAAAUAACUUCCUUGGCUCAGCGGUUCAGGAACUUACAAAAUUUGCCUUGAAAUAGUGAUGUUACCCCACAUCUAUGUGGUUUCAAAUGCUAUGUAUUUCCAAUCCCAUGAUAGUUUCCAAAUAAAGGCAAUAUUGACAGUCUUGCAAAUAAAAAUGUGUUGAAAAUCA